GAUGAACGCUGGCGGCGUGCCUAAUACAUGCAAGUCGAGCGAACAGAUGAGGAGCUUGCUCCUCUGACGUUAGCGGCGGACGGGUGAGUAACACGUGGAUAACCUACCUAUAAGACUGGGAUAACUUCGGGAAACCGGAGCUAAUAACGGAUAAUAUAUUGAACCGCAUGGUUCAAUAGUGAAAGACGGCUUUGCUGUCACUUAUAGAUGGAUCCGCGCCGCAUUAGCUAGUUGGUAAGGUAACGGCUUACCAAGGCAACGAUGCGUAGCCGACCUGAGAGGGUGAUCGGCCACCCUGGAACUGAGACACGGUCCAGACUCCUACGGGAGGCAGCAGUAGGGAAUCUUCCGCAAUGGGCGAAAGCCUGACGGAGCAACGCCGCGUGAGUGAUGAAGGUCUUCGGAUCGUAAAACUCUGUUAUUAGGGAAGAACAAAUGUGUAAGUAACUAUGCACGUCUUGACGGUACCUAAUCAGAAAGCCACGGCUAACUACGUG
rnacentral:rRNA from 1 species